ACGGAAGGCAGCAGUGAGGAAUAUUGGUCAAUGGACGCAAGUCUGAACCAGCCAUGCCGCGUGCAGGAAUAAGGCCCUAUGGGUCGUAAACUGCUUUUGUGGUGGAGCAAUAAGUCGUACGUGUACGGCGAUGAGAGUACAUCACGAAUAAGCAUCGGCUAACUCCGUGCCAGCAGCCGCGGUAAUACGGAGGAUGCAAGCGUUAUCCGGAUUUAUUGGGUUUAAAGGGUGCGUAGGCUGUGGUCCAAGUCAGGGGUGAAAGCCCGGAGCUCAACUCCGGAACUGCCUUUGAUACUGGAUUGCUGGAAUACGGAUGCCGUGGGAGGAAUGAGUAGUGUAGCGGUGAAAUGCAUAGAUAUUACUCAGAACACCGAUUGCGAAGGCAUCACACGAAUCCGUCAUUGACGCUGAGGCACGAAAGCGUGGGGAUCAAACAGGAUUAGAUACCCUGGUA
rnacentral:rRNA from 1 species